rnacentral:rRNA from 1 species
CCUACGGGCGGCAGCAGUCGAGAAUCAUUCACAAUGGGGGAAACUCUGAUCGUGCGACGCCGCGUGGAGGAAUGAAGGUCUUCGGGUUGUAAACCCCUGUCAUGAGGGAGUCAAUUAAGAAGAUAGUACCACAAGGGGAAGAGACGGCUAACUCUGUGCCAACAGCCGCGGUAAUACAGAGGUCUCAAGCGUUGUGCGGAAUCACUGGGCGUAAAGGGUGCGUAGGUGGUUUCGUAAGUCGGGUGUGAAAGGGGGGGGCUCAACCCGAGGACGGCACAUGAUACUGGGAGACUAGAGUACUGGAGAGGGAAGCGGAAUUCGCGGUGUAGCGGUGAAAUGCGGAGAUAUCGCGAAGAACUCUGAUGGCGAAGGCAGGUUCCUAGACAUUAACUGACGCUGAGGCACGAAGGCCAGGGGAGCGAAAGGGAUUAGAUACCCGGGUAGUC